rnacentral:rRNA from 1 species
UACGAAGGGGGCUAGCGUUGUUCGGAAUCACUGGGCUUAAAGGGCGCGUAGGCGGGCGGUCAAGUCAGAGGUGAAAUCCCACGGCUCAACCGUGGAAGUGCCCCUGAUACUGACUGUCUCGAGGGAGGUAGGGGCGUGCGGAACUUCCGGUGGAGCGGUGAAAUGCGUAGAUAUCGGAAGGAACACCGAUGGCGAAAGCAGCGCGCUGGACCUCUACUGACGCUGAGGCGCGAAAGCCAGGGAGCAAACGGG